GCUGGAGGUCCCCGUGCUGGGGCCGCGGAGAUUGCAGUCUGGAGAGAGCAACCGACCAAGCGAGGUGUGCGACAGGGCGCGUGCCCGCCCCUCCCUCGUAGCUGCCUGGAUCUCUGACCCUAUUGAGAUAUUCUUCACAUGGUACUCACCUGCAGACAGCUAACCUAGUCCAAACCAGGAGGCGGAAUUGGCCAGCCUGUAUCACAUUACAGAUAAAAGAAAAUGAAAACUCUGCAUACCGGAGCCUGAAACUAAAACAGAAGGGCAGUUACGAAUCCUGUAACAACAGCGUUGGAUAAGAAUGAAAAAUUUCAAACACUUGGAAUCGGAUGAAUUUGUAGAAAACCCCGUAUUUCAUUUCAGUUUACUUCAGCUGUCACAGCGGGAUCGAUACAGCUAAACGAAACAGCGUUCCUCUCGGGCCAAGGUGCAAGACACAUUACUAACAUCACCCAGCACACUGGACCUAGAAAAUAGCACAAAUGGCAUAUAUGGUUCCAGUUUAAGAAAAACAUACAGUUGCAUAGAAAAAACAUCUAGCCCAAAACCCUGGGUGUCCAGCUUGUACAUCCACCCAGAGGACACUAGAGGGCAGCAUCAGGCGAGCACUGGAGAAGAGCACCAACUCAUAGCGGAUUCCAGCGUGCCUACAGAGGCCUCUCCAACACCACAUCAGUGUCUCCUCUCCAGGGCAUCUACCCGGCAAUUAAUUCAGGCCUCCAGAUUACUACUUCAGCAAACUCCUGUGUCCCCACUUCACUGACAAGUUCAGUUCAAAGCAAAAAAAUUAAAUUUAGAUUAAAAUUUGGAAAUGGACACAGGGACCAGCCCGCUCACUUGUCAAUGCCUUGCCAACAGGGGGACUGAUUUAAUCAAUGCUCCGUGCUCAGUUGAUGAUUUCAGUCAGAAAAUAAAAUGGUGCAAUCCAGUUAGCUCGAUGUUUUCCAGCUGGACAGGUGAAUAAAUAGAAAUGGCAGAGAUCUGAUCUCCUGAUCACAAUAAGUGAUCACAGGACAUAAAUGACUGUCGAGUACAGGAUCAGACUGAACUGCAAUGUGCCCUGUAAUAAGAUAGCUGGCCAAUUUCACAUCAGAGCUCAUGCAUGAUGGAUGGCUACUUUCCACAGAGCUUCACCUUAGCAAGCAUUCUAUGCCUUGUCUCCUUGUACUUUGUCCAAUUCACAGCUCAGUAGCAGUUGUUAAACUUUGAAUCACAAUUUAGAUCACUGAUUCACAAGUACGCAUCUCAUUGUGAUAGCUGAGGCAUUUAAAUUCAGUUCAUUAAAUGCAUUUUGUGGUUUAAAAAAAGAUAGUAUCCACAAUGGUGGCCAUAAAGCUAUUAGAUGAUCGUAAAACCCUAAACGGUUCCUAAUUUCUUUUAGGAAGGGACAGUCUCAAUUUUUUACUGUGAUCUGGUCCACAUGUAAGAGCAAACCCACAGCAAGGAUAUUGACUUUUAAUUAUCCUCUGAAAUUACACAGCAAAUUCUCUGUUCAAAGGCAAUUAGUGAUGGGCAAUAUAUAGUGGUCAUGCCAGGAAAGCCUGUGUUUUAUGUAUAAACAAAUUACAUUUUCUUGUUCUAAGAGUUGAGAAAUAGCCACUUAGUAUUCACUCACUCAAAUGAACUUCAACACAUAUCACAACCUAAUAAACUUGUCUUUAUUUCCUUCUGUAAUUUGUAUUUCUAAUUGUUUCUAAGGAAGGACAUUUACCAUUCCUGUCCUCAGUCUGAUGCCAGACUUGCUGUAAUGGGGUUGAAUUAUAACAGAUCACUGAAAAGCUCGUGAAAUCUGUUUAAUUAUAUCAACUCUAUUUUGCAAAUGGUAGUACAUGAUUGCAAACUUACAGCAGUGGUUUAGAAAUAGGCUCAUGGUCUUUUGAAAGAGCCCUUAAAUGGAAUGGGCAACAAUUGUUGGCCUUGUUAGUGUCCUGUCCUUCCAGCACCAAACAUCACCAUUCCCUUCUCAAUAUUAUUCUAGCAGCUAAUGAUUCAUUUCAGAUUUUGUUUGAGUAAUUGAUCAGAAAAUAAUAUCUAAAAAUUCAGAAAUUAGAUCUUAGCCUACUGCUCUUGCAAAUCUGUUCCUGAUGUAUUAGAAUCACUCAACAGACAUGUAGGGGAGAAGGAACUAAAGUUAACAGUUUAAAGUUAACAGUUAAAAGUCAAACACGAGGAAAUCUGCAGAUGCUGGAAAUUCAAACAACAACACACACAAAAUGCUAGUCGAACACAGCAGGCCAGGCAGCAUCUAUAGGGAGAAGCGCUGUCGACGUUUCGGGCCGAGACCCUUCGUCAGGACUAACCGGACUUGCUGUAAGAGUCAAAAGUUAAAAGUAAAAGUUAAAAGUCAAAGUAUAUUUAUUCUCAAAGUACAUGUAUGUCACCAUAUACAACCCUAAGACUUAUCUUCUUGCAGGCAUGCUCACUAAAUCUGUAAUAGAAAAAUAACCAUUACUGAGUCAAUGGAAGACCACACCAACUUGAGCAUUCAA